GACGAACGCUGGCGGCGUGCUUAACACAUGCAAGUCGAACGGAAAGGCCUGCUUUCCCUUGUGGAUUGCGGGUACUCGAGUGGCGAACGGGUGAGUAACACGUGAGUGAUCUGCCCCCAACUUGGGUAUAAGCCUGGGAAACUGGGUCUAAUUCCCGAUAGGACUGCAGGGUGGUGCCUGUGGUGGAAAACGAUUUUCUAGUGGUUGGGGAUGAGCUCGCGGCCUAUCAGCUUGUUGGUGGGGUAAUGGCCUACCAAGGCGGCGACGGGUAGCCGGCCUGAGGGGGUGGACGGCCACAUUGGGACUGGGAUACGGCCCAGACUCCUACGGGAGGCAGCAGUGGGGAAUAUUGCACAAUGGGCGGAAGCCUGAUGCAGCGACGCCGCGUGGGGGAUGACGGCCUUCGGGUUGUAAACUCCUUUCGACCGCGAGGAAGCCACCUGGUUGGAAGGGUGGUGACGGUAGUGGUAGAAGAAGCACCGGCUAACUACGUG
rnacentral:rRNA from 1 species